UUUUCUUCUUCUGAGGCGUUUCUCCGACCUUCCUCGCCUUUCGAAGGGAAAUCUUUUAAAAUCUGAUCCCAUAAUCCUUUGCAUAAGGGUGGAGUCGGUGCAACGGAAUGGAGCUGAGUGUUUACUGGCCGGAUGCCCUUCCUGUCACCAAUGCAGAGUUGGCAGCAGAUAUAUAUACUCAUUGUGCCCAGAGAGAGAAAUAUCUGCUGCUACCUAGGAUCGAACUCACAGCCGCCUGAUUAAAACCGCUCCAUCAAUCCUUUGACCGCCAAAAGAAGAACUACAGAUUUAAGCUCUUAAAUAAAAGUGUUGCGGUGAAGAAGAAGAAGAAAAAAAAGUA